rnacentral:lncRNA from 1 species
GGGACAACUACGAAGAUGGCGGUUGCGCGCUUGGCAGCUGUGGCGGCCUGGGUACCUUGUCGGAGCUGGGGCUGGGCAGCCGUCCCCUUCGGUCCCCACCGUGGCCUCAGCGUGCUGCUUGCACGGAUACCUCAGCGGGCGCCACGGUGGCUCCCAGCUUGUAGACAAAAGACGUCACUCUCAUUCCUUAAUCGACCAGACCUUCCAAACCUGGCUUAUAAGAAGCUAAAAGGCAAAAGUCCAGGAAUUAUCUUCAUCCCUGGCUAUCUUUCUUAUAUGAAUGGUACAAAAGCGUUGGCGAUUGAGGAGUUUUGCAAAUCUCUAGGUCACGCCUGCAUAAGGUUUGAUUACUCAGGAGUUGGAAGUUCAGAUGGUAACUCAGAGGAAAGCACACUGGGGAAAUGGAGAAAAGAUGUUCUUUCUAUAAUUGAUGACUUAGCUGAUGGGCCACAGAUUCUUGUUGGAUCUAGCCUUGGAGGGUGGCUUAUGCUUCAUGCUGCAAUUGCACGACCAGAGAAGGUCGUGGCUCUUAUUGGUGUAGCUACAGCUGCAGAUACCUUAGUGACAAAGUUUAAUCAGCUUCCUGUUGAGGACUCUGGAAGGAAAAACUAUAUUUCUUUACAUUCAGCCUAAAAUUGCAUGAGUAUGUGUAUGAUUGUUACAAU